UACGUAGGAGACGAGCGUUGUCCGGAAUUACUGGGCGUAAAGCGCGUGUAGGCGGAUGAGCAAGUCUGCUGUGAAAGCUCCUGGCUUAACCGGGAGUGGUCGGUGGAAACUGCUCGUCUGGAGGACGGUAGAGGUAGGUAGAAUUCCCGGUGUAGCGGUGAAAUGCGUAGAGAUCGGGAAGAACAUCGGUGGCGAAAGCGCUCUGCUGGACUGCAACUGACACUCAGGGACGAAAGCUAGGGGAGCGAAUGGG
rnacentral:rRNA from 1 species